rnacentral:rRNA from 1 species
GACGAACGCUGGCGGCGUGCUUAACACAUGCAAGUCAAGGGGGCCCAGCAAUGGGCAACCGGCGAACGGGUGCGUAACACGUGAGCAACCUGCCGAUCUGUGGGGAUAGCCGGCCCAACGGCCGGGUAAUACCGCAUACGCUCUUCUCGGGACAUCCCGAGCUGAUGAAACCUUUUGGGCAGAUCGAGGGGCUCGCGGCCUAUCAGCUAGUUGGUGGGGUAACGGCUCACCAAGGCGACGACGGGUAGCUGGUCUGAGAGGAUGGCCAGCCACAUUGGGACUGAGAAACGGCCCAGACUCCUACGGGAGGCAGCAGUGGGGAAUAUUGCGCAAUGGCCUGACGGCUGACGCAGCGACGCCGCGUGUGGGAUGACGCCUUCGGGGUGUAAACCACUGUUGCUCGAGACGAACCACGGACUUUCGUCCGUCUGACGGUAUCGAGUGAGGAAGCACCGGCUAACUCCGUGCCAGCAGCCGCGGUAAUACGGAGGGUGCGAGCGUUGUCCGGAAUCACUGGGCGUAAAGGGCGCGUAGGUGGUUCGAUAAGUGUGUGGUGAAAAGCCCCGGGGG